rnacentral:rRNA from 1 species
AUUGAACGCUGGCGGCAGGCUUAACACAUGCAAGUCGAGCGAGCGGCGGACGGGUGAGUAAUGUCUGGGAAACUGCCUGAUGGAGGGGGAUAACUACUGGAAACGGUAGCUAAUACCGCAUACCCUCAGAUGUGCCCAGAUGGGAUUAGCUAGUAGGUGGGGUAAUGGCUCACCUAGGCGACGAUCCCGAGCUGGUCUGAGAGGAUGACCAGCCAAACUGGAACUGAGACACGGUCAAGAAGCCUACGGGAGGAAGCAGUGGGGAAUAUUGCACAAGGGGCGAAAGCCUGAUGGAGCAAUGCCGCGGGUGUGAUGAAGGUAGUCGGAUUGGAAAGCACUGUUAGCGAGGAGGGGUUACUUGCAGAGGAAGAACCGGCUAACUCCGUGCCAGCAGCGGCGGUAAUAC